ensembl:lncRNA
GGCCACCAUGGGGGGCACCUGUUACCCGCCACGGGCCAGCUCCUCCCGCAGUGAGCGCCCCCACCGGCUUUGCUCAGGAGAGUGGACACAGUCCUAAGCUCCAUGCGUCAGUUCCACAGGCCUGUGAGCACACUUCCCUGGCCCUCAGGGUUCUCCUCCCUGGGCCUCCGCCAGCUAGUGUGCAGAAACACUCGACGUGCAAAGACCCCACGCGGGCCUCACUGGGUGAGUCUGUAUAAAUGGUGGCCGCCCUUUGGGGGGCGGGGAGUGGUGAUUCUCCUGACUGUAUCAUAAAGCCACAGACAGGGCUUCUUCCCUGGCGGCUCAGCGGCAAAGAAUCCGCCUGCCAAUGCAGGAGAUAGGGGUUCAAUCCCUGAUCAGUGAAGAUCCCACAUGCAGUGGAGCAAACAAGCUGUGUGCCACAACUACCGAGCCUGUGCUCUAGUCUGGCAGCCACAACUACCGAGCCCACCUUAAUGCGAAGCGUGCUCUGCGAACAAGAGCAGCCAGCGCCAUGAGAAGCCCGAGCGCUGCAACUCAAGUAACCCCGCCCGCCACAGCGAGGGGAAAGCCCACGGGCAGCGAUGAAGACCCAACACAGCCGAAAACAAAUGCAUGAAUAAAAUAUAAAAUGCCUGACUUGGAAAAAAUGAACCAUCAGUAAGUAUUUUUCUCAAAAGCUGCGCACAACAUUGGAAAUCCGACAACCAGGGAUGUGAACAUGCCUGGUUCUGUUGAACCAGAAUCUGGUGAGUGCCUGGGCCAGGUGCUUCUACUCGGGUCUGCUCACAGGGUCCAUCCAGAGCACCUGGAGACUUUGCUCAGUAGCUCCGUCCUCACUGCACAUCCCGGGAGGCUGGGUAGCUGGGUGAGAGCUCCUACUCAUUCACACGUGUACUCAACAGUAUUUACUGAUGCUGAGGAUGUGUUCUGGACACAGCAGGGGAGAGCUCACAUUCUGGCAGGAGACAGACUGUGAACCGUAGACACAGAAGGGAUGGAGAUGAGUGACGAGAGCCACGGAAGAGGGAAGCGGCUGGUCAGGCCAGGGGGCUGGAUGGGCAGGCCAGAUGUGAGGCUCCAGGUGGGCCCCCUCUGAUGACCACACGGCGUGAAGUGGCAGAGUUAGGACCUGAACCAGGACCACCUUUCGCCUGACCUCCGUCCAUCUGCCACGUCAACACGUUGUAGGAGGAGCCCCCAGCUCCACUAGCCAGUCCCAAGCUCCCAAGGACUCAGCUCGCUCUGCCCAAAACACUGGCCCCCAGGACACUGGCCAGGCCUCUCUGAAGACUUUAAAGCCCCCAACCCUAAAGAAAAUAGGGUUUUUAUCCCAGCCUCCAGCCUGAUUCAAACAAGCCCAUUCUUAAGAGCUCUACCUGCAACCCGUGGGAAUGUUUGUUUCUGCUGGGUCUGCCUCCCGCGCUGCAAAGUUGGCCCUGUGAAAGCAGCUAAUGGAUAUGUUUGCGUUGCUUCAGUCUCCCCGGGACCCAGCACUGUGCCUGGACCGUGGCAGGUGGAUUCUUGAUCACUAGCCGCCAGUUCACUGACGCUCAAGCACCUCACAGGAAGGCCUCUCAGGACACAGACACUAGGGGUCUCAUCCGAGGAGCUGCUCCCACAGGUGGGCGGUCAGCUCAGCGCUCCAGGCCUGGGGCACUUGCCUCUCCCUGGGCAGGGGUGCCGGACGCCAGGCCUCUCCGGCUGUGCCAGUCACCACUGCUGCCAUGAGCAGACCUUCACAGUAUUUUCUAUCCCGCCUUUUGGAGCCCCUGGAAUCCCCCCUUUCCCUCAGCCCACACCCCUGCCAAAUGCAGCCACCGUCUUCCCCCCAGGUGUGUCUCUCAGCUAAACAC